GCAGGAGCCCCCGGCGCCGCAGGGAAAGGAACGUAGAGCCUGCGCGCUCUGGGAAUGCACUAACUGCCGCCCGCUAGGGUGGCGCGCAUUGGGGCUCUAGAAAAGAGGGUUGAGAAGCCCCGGGCAAGUGCCUAGGAAGGUCAGAGGAGUCAGCAAAGUCCACGAAAGAACUUCCCCGGGUUGGAGAGGAAACGCACCCUGGGAGCUGGAGAAGAGGAAAGCUAGCCUAGGGGAAGCUUCAUCAGGGCUCCGAGCGCCACGAGGAGUGCAGAGGAGGUGCUGCUGAUUGCGGGGAGAGCUCUGAGAGCCUGAGAAAGAUGGGGAAACUGAAGCCCUAGAGGAAAAGAAGACUAAAUGUAUUACCAUCUGACCCACUUCCUGGCUAGCCUGUUCACCUAUCUGCUAUUCUUCAUUGACGUGAAAGCCUGAAUAGAGGAGCCCCUUUCUCCAAAGAGGUGCACGCGUGGAUGCCCUUGAUGAUGUCAAAUGCUCAUUUUCAUGCUUUCCUGGGGCUAAUCAGAGACCCAAGCAGGUUCAUCAUGCAAAUUAGAAGGAGAUGUGCAAUCCAAGACUCAGAGAAGCUGGAGAAUUUCCCUAAUGUCACACAGCAAAGGAAUGGAAGAAUACACGAUCCUCUCCUCCCAACAUGUCACCCC